rnacentral:rRNA from 1 species
UACGGAGGGUGCAAGCGUUAUUCGGAAUUACUGGGCGUAAAGCGCGUGUAGGCGGGAAGGUAAGUCUGAUGUGAAAGCCCCGGGCUUAACCUGGGAAGUGCAUUGGAAACUGCUUUUCUUGAGUACUGGAGAGGAAGGGAGAAUUCCCGGUGUAGAGGUGAAAUUCGUAGAGAUCGGGAGGAACACCAGUGGCGAAGGCGACUUCCUGGCCCUAUACUGACGCUGAGACGCGAGAGCGUGGGUAGCAAACAGGAUUAGAAACCCUAGUAGU